GGGCUUGUAGCUCAGUUGGGAGAGCGCUUGAAUGGCAUUCAAGAGGUCAGGGGUUCGAUUCCCCUUAAGUCCA
rnacentral:tRNA from 1 species